CACACCAGUAAUCCUAGCCGGGCAAGGUGUUUACCAUCUCACUAGGAGGGAAAAAGAAAAUGGAAAGAUCUAUUGGUGAGCCAAUAAAUUAGUGCUUAAAUAGGGUGCAUAAACCACCCUGAAAAAAAAGCUUCGGGUGAGUCAGUUGACGUAAAUUGGGAAACAAAUUGCAGUACAAACUUCUGGGGACAGAUAGGAUUUCAGGAGGGCUUGGAAUCGGGGAAAGCUGGGGUCUGAUGAGUUUGAAAGGAAAAGCCGGGAGUAAAAACCAGGCUUGGAAGGACAGAGAGAUUGCCUCCACCAGAUCAAGCCACCUGAUUUGAACUGCUGUUUUUUUGAGAGAAAAAUCACUGAAAGGGAUGGUGGGGAUAGAGUAAAAUGAUCAAAAUACGUUUAGGAAAAUGAGUUGUAUACUCAACAUGAAGGCAUCCUCCAAUUAAGAUUGCUGAAAGCAGGAAACGAUUGAGAAAUGCAUGGCUUAAAAUGGCAGAUGCUUGAAGAGGAAACUGCAGAGGGUGACCUGUCGACAACCUCCAGCAAUCGAAAGAAGUCAGCCUGAGUAGUAAUACAUCACCAGCCCUGGGAACAGAGGAUAGCGAAAUCAUUCAUCAUGGU
rnacentral:lncRNA from 1 species